CACAUUCGGGCAGGUCCCCACGGUCUCCUUAUCUGCGGCCUGGGGAAAACACUCCAUUCAUUCAACAAACGUUGAAGCAAGUGUAGAGGCCAACGCUGGGGCAGGGAGGGGAAUGUGAUUCCCAGAGGAAAGCAAACCACACCAGAAACCAGACGAGCAGCCAGAGGUCAACACAGGCGGGACAGGGCAGGGGCCGGCUUCUGUGGCGGUGUGGAAGCCUGCCCUCCCAGACCCGCAGGAGGGAGAGCGCCAGGGAGGGCAGGCCUGGAGGAGGCGCCAGGCCCAGAGAGAGCUGGGCUGGGCAGGCCACCGGGCAGGGGCUUCCGCGCUGAGGCAGGGAAAGGGGGGGGAGGCGGGGAGGGACGGAGACCCCGCCCCUCAGAACCAGCUCUGGCUGAUCCGCGGCCUCCGACCCACCUGUACCGCUCUUCUGGACACCUCCGCCCCCCUUCAAAAGUUUGGACCAUUUCAUCGCUCUUCUAGUUCCCCUCCUCUCUUGAUGGGGGUCAGGAUCCGGCCUCACUCCCUGCCACACACUUUCUCACAACUGCCUGAAGAGCAGCAUGGCCUUGGCUCUGAUGCCCCCGCAGGAAACCCAGGCCACAGGACACGUGCACUUGGGCUUGAGCGUGAUGGCGGUACCCCUGGCAGGUGUAUUGGGGCCAGAUGACACGGGAGGACGGGCAUCCUGUGUGGGGGCAAGCGAGAACCCCGUUUUUGUGCCGACGGAGCAGGCCUCUGUGACAAAGAACCACAGCCCGGCCGCUAGACAGCACCCGUGCUCACGUAGUCUUGGAGCCUGCAGGUCCGAGGGCUGGUUCCCAAUGCACCAUUCUCCUGGGCUGGAUCUCCAAACGCAGUCACAUUCAAAAAUAUUUCUACUGCUGAGAAAUGAAAGCACUGACAACUCUGGGACUUCAGAGGCGCCUGGGGGGCUCAGUUGGGUGUCCGACUGCGGCUCAAGUCAUGGUCACAUGGUUCGUGAGUUCAAGCCCUGCGUCAGACUCUGUGCUGAC